UAGCUCAGUUGGGAGAGCAUCCGCUUUGCAAGCGGGAGGUCAGGGGUUCGAGUCCCCU
rnacentral:tRNA from 1 species